CAAUAGCGUAUAUUAAAGUUGUUGCAGUUAAAAAGCUCGUAGUUGGAUUUCUGGUUGAAGCGACCGGUCGGGCGUUGAUUCGUCUGCACUGGAGUCGGUUUUGGCCAUCCUCUAGGAAAGUGCGUCUGGUAUUAAGUUGUCGGGCGUAUGAUCCUGGUCUUUUACUGUGAAAAAAUUAGAGUGUUUAAAGCAGGCCUUCGCCUUGAAUACAUUAGCAUGGAAUAAUGGAAUAGGGCUCGUCUUACUUCUUGGUUCGUUUGACAAGCAAUGAUUAAUAGGGACAGUUGGGGGCGAUUCGUACUGGACAGCUAGAGGUGAAAUUCUACGAUUUGUCUAAGACGAACUAAUGCGAAGGCAUCUGCCAAGGAUGUUUUCAUUGAUCAAGAACGAAAGUGUGGGGAUCGAAGACGAUUAGAUACCAU
rnacentral:rRNA from 1 species